rnacentral:rRNA from 1 species
UACGUAGGGGUGCGAGCGUUAAAUCGGAAUUACUGGGCGUAAAAGCGUGCGCAGGCGGUUCGUUGUGUCGGGCGGUGAAAAGCCCCGGGCUCAACCUGGGAAUGGCCGUUGAAACUGGCGAACUGGAGUGUGGCAGAGGGGGUGGAAUUCCGCGUGUAGCAGUGAAAUGCGUAGAGAUGCGGAGGAACACCGAUGGCGAAGGCAGCCCCUGGGCUGACACUGACGCUCAGGCACGAAAGCGUGGGAGCAAAACAGG